rnacentral:misc_RNA from 1 species
AAAGUCGUAACAAGGUUUCCGUAGGUGAACCUGCGGAAGGAUCAUUAUCACGUAUCCACGUAUAAACCAAUUCGUGAACUGUUUGUUAACCUUUGGGCUAUGGCCGCUGUCAUUGACACAUAGAGCUUAUUGUAUGGUUAUGGGCUCGUCUUUGGCAAUUAAGGCUGUCUCUCCGAAGCGUAUUAAUCAUACUUUUAACAUUAACCACUUGAACACUAUGAUUUUCUUUGUUUGAACUGAUUUGUUUCUUACUCAGCGCUCCGUAACACCGAGCGCCGAGAAGAAAUCAAUUACGAAACAAAAAAGAACAACUCUUAGCAACGGAUAUCUUGGUUCUC